AUGGCCUCCAAUAGGGCCCCAGGUCCUGAUAAUAUCCCAGUAGAAUUCUACCAGGUAUGUUGGGAUAUAGUUAAGGAGGAAAUCAUGGCCUUGUUUAGGCACUUUCAUCGAGGGGAGUUGGAUGUGCAGAGGUUGAAUUAUGGGAUUAUCACGUUGCUCCCGAAGCUUUUCGGGGCUGACAAAAUCCAACAGUUCAGACCUAUAUGUUUGCUUAGAUGCCCAUACAAGCUCAUCACAAAAGUCCUAGAUCGUCGGGUUUCGGUGUAUGCUGAUAAACUAAUUAGCCCAGUCCAGAAUGCUUUUGUCGAAGGGAGAAGCAUCAUGGAUGGUGUUCUUUCGCUUCAUGAGAUCCUAAACUACACUCAUGUGAAAAAAAGGGUUGGCGUGGUGUUGAAAUUGGAUUUUGAAAAGGCAUAUGAUAAGGUUAACUGGGACUUCUUGCUAGAGUGUCAUAAGUUGUGGGGAUUCAAUGAAACUUGGUGUGGGUGGAUUAACCAGAUCCUUCAGAAUGGCACAGUUAGCAUUAAAUUGAACAAUUGUGUAGCUCCGUAUUUUCAAAGUGCUAAAGGGGUGCGUCAAGGCGACCCUCACUCCCCAUUCUUGUUUAACUUAGCUGCUGAAUGUCUCACAAAGAUGAUUAAGAAUGCACAACAUAAUAAGCUGUUGGUUGGCUUAGCUGUGGAUUUGAUUCCUGAUGGAGUUGCGGUUCUCCAAUAUGCGGAUGACACAAUUAUUUGUCUCGAGCAUGACAUCGUCAAAGCAGUUAACCUGAAGUUGCUGCUGUACAUGUUUGAAAUGAUGUCAGGUUUGGAAGUUAAUUUUCAAAAAAGUGAGAUUUUGACUGUUGGGGGAGACGAUGCUGUUAUUAAGCAAUAUGUCGACCUCUUUAAUUGUGAUGUAGGUAGCUUCCCCAUCAAAUACUUGGGCAUGCCUGUUAGUUACACCUCAUUGAGGAACUCUGACUGGGAGUUCAUUGUGUGCAAAUAUCUGAAAAGAUUCGAAGCCUGGGUGGGCAAUGCUGCCUCCAUGGGAGGGAGACACACCCUUUUAGACUCGGUUGUCACCCAGCUAUCACUGUAUCAUAUGUCUAUGUGGUUGAUGAACAAAACUUUUAUUGAAAAACUGGAUAAGCAUAGAAGAAAAUUCUUCUGGCAGGGUUGUAACAAGAAGAAAAGAUAUUAUCUUGUGAAAUGGAGCAGAAUUUGCAGAUCCAAAGAGAAAGGUGGCCUAGGGAUUAAGGACUUGCAUAAACAGAACAUCACUCUGAUGGUGAAAUGGUGGUGGAAGCUUGAAACACAAAGUGGGGUGUGGCAAGAUAUUAUUCAUGCUCGCUACUUGCGGAAUAAAACAGUAGCGGAUGUCGCCCCAAGGUUUUCUGACUCUCCGAGUUGGAAAGCCCUAUUGAAAGUCAAGGAGAUUUAUAUGGCUGGUAGAAAAGUUAUUACUGAAUCCGGGAACAUUGCUAGGGUGUGGAGCGAUCCUAUUAACGGACUGCUUCCGUUUAAGGAUCAAUAUCCGCAGCUCUUUAAUAUCUGUAAUGUCCCUGAGUGUACCAUUAAACAAGUGCUAAGUGUGGAGACCGACUCCUUUUUCAGGCGCAGGCUUAAUCCUGCUCUUGCU
rnacentral:rRNA from 1 species